UGAAUAUUGAUUUCUUUUUCUGGUGAAAAAUGCUUUCCCCAUAAGGGAGCAUAGACAUUUGGUCAAUGAUGUACAGUCCCAUUCCACAUUGUUGGAGAGCAUUUGUGUCCCCGGCUUUUAGCUGGUGAGGACUGAAUCCUAUAUAUUCCUAGACCUUCUGUCUGCUGUGACUGUGGAGACAAACCAUAUAGGGUACAUGU